rnacentral:rRNA from 1 species
UACGGGGGGGGGAAGCGUUGUUCGGAAUUACUGGGCGUAAAGGGCUCGUAGGCGGCCAACUAAGUCAGACGUGAAAUCCCCAGGCUCAACCUGGGAACUGCGUCUGAUACUGGAUGGCUUGAAUCCGGGAGAGGGAUGCAGAAUUCCAGGUGUAGCGGUGAAAUGCGUAGAUAUCUGGAGGAAUACCGGUGGCGAAGGCGGCAUCCUGGACCGGCAUUGACGCUGAGGAGCGAAAGCCAGGGGAGCAAACGGG